GCAUCUAUUAGAUUAAAACCAAUCGGGUUCGCGCCCGUCAAUUGGUGACUCUGAAUAACUAUAGCUGAUCGCAUGGUCUUGAACCGGCGACGUGUCUAUCAAGUGUCUGCCUUAUCAACUUUCGAUGGUAGUUUAUGUGCCUACCAUGGUUGUAACGGGUAACGGAGAAUAAGGGUUCGACUCCGGAGAGGGAGCCUGAGAAACGGCUACCACAUCCAAGGAAGGCAGCAGGCGCGCAAAUUACCCACUCUCGGCAAGAGGAGGUAGUGACGAAAAAUAACGAGACCGUACUCUUUGAGGCCGGUUAUCGGAAUGGGUACAAUUUAAACCCGUUAACGAGGAUCUAUGAGAGGGCAAGUCUGGUGCCAGCAGCCGCGGUAAUUCCAGCUCUCAAAGUGUAUAUCGUCAUUGCUGCGGUUAAAAAGCUCGUAGUUGGAUCUGCGCCUCAGGACUUGGUCCGCCCACUGGGCGAGAACUAGGCUCCUGGGCUAGUUCUGCUGGUUUUCUCUACGUUGCCUUCAUCGGUCGCGUAGGGUGGCUAGCGAGUUUACUUUGAAAAAAUUAGAGUGCUUCACGCGAGCUUAUGUCUGAAUACUCGUGCAUGGAAUAAUAGAAUAGGAUCUCGGUUCUAUUUUGUUGGUUUUCUGAUCUGAGAUAAUGGUUAAGAGGGACGGACGGGGGCAUUCGUAUCGCUGCGUGAGAGGUGAAAUUCUUGGACCGUAGCGAGACGCCCGACUGCGAAAGCAUUUGCCAAGAAUGUCUUCAUUAAUCAAGAACGAAAGU
rnacentral:rRNA from 1 species